UCCCUGGUUGCCUAGUGGUUAGGAUUUAGCACUUUCACAGAUAUGGCCCGGGUUCAAUCCCUGGCCUGGGAA
rfam:Sus scrofa chromosome 2.